UACGUAGGGUGCAAGCGUUGUCCGGAAUUAUUGGGCGUAAAGAGCUCGUAGGCGGUCCGUCGCGUCGAAUGUGAAAACCCGGGGCUCAACCCCGGGCCUGCAUUCGAUACGGGCGGACUAGAGUUCGGUAGGGGGAGACUGGAAUUCCUGGUGUAGCGGUGGAAUGCGCAGAUAUCAGGAGGAACACCGGUGGCGAAGGCGGGAUCCUGGGCCAGUACUGACGCUGAGGAGCGAAAGCGUGGGGAGCAACAGG
rnacentral:rRNA from 1 species